rnacentral:rRNA from 1 species
AUGCGUGCUAAGAAAGAUGCCUUUAUAAGAGCAUGUUCUUCUAGUUCCUAUGAAAAUAAAGAUGAAUAUCUAAAAGUUAUUGAUGUGUCCCCUAUUAAAUCUUUGUUUUGCAAUAUGAAUCUUGAUAAUGAUGGGACUGAAUAUGAUGCACCUUUACCUAGAAGGCGUUCCAAGAAUUCGGAAUUUGUUGAUCUUGAUGCUAAAUUUGAUAAAAGUGGGAUUGAGGAAAUUAAAACCCUACAUGUUGCUAAACCCACUACUAUGGAUUUCAAGGAAUUUAACUAUGAAAUUUGCUCUUUGAUUGAUUGUAUUUCCUUGUUGCAAUCCGUGCUAAAUUCUCUUCAUGCUUAUAGUCAAAAUAAAGCGUUUACUAAACAUAUCGUUGAUGCCUUGUUGCAAUCUUAUGAAGAAAAACUUGAAUUGGAAGUUUCUAUCCCUAGAAAACUUUAUGAUGAGUGGGAACCAACUAUUAAAAUUAAAAUUAAAGAUCAUGAAUGCUAUGCUUUAUGUUAUUUGGGUGCUAGUGUUUCCACGAUUCCAAAGACCUUGUGUGAUUUGUUAGGUUUCCGUGAUUUUGAUGAUUGCUCUCUAAACUUGCACCUUGCGGAUUCCACUAUUAAGAAACCUAUGGGAAUAAUUAAUGAUUUUAUUAUUUUUGCAAAUACGAAUUAUGUUCCCGUAGAUUUUAUUGUUCUUGACAUAGAUUGCAAUCUUUCAUGUCCUAUUAUUCUUGGUAGACCUUUCCUUAGAACGAUUGGUGCAAUUAUUGAUAUGAAGGAAGGAAAUAUUAGAUUCCACUUUCCAUUAAGGAAAGACAUGGAACACUUUCCUGGAAAGAAAAUUAAAUUACCUUAUGAAUCUAUUAAGAGAUCCACUUAUGGAUUGCCUACCAAAGAUGGCAAUACCUAG